rnacentral:rRNA from 1 species
AUUGAACGCUGGCGGCAUGCCUAACACAUGCAAGUCGAACGAGUGGCGGACGGGUGAGUAAUGUCUGGGAAACUGCCUGAUAGAGGGGGAUAACUACUGGAAACGGUAGCUAAUACCGCAUACCAUCGGAUGUGCCCAGAGGGGAUUAGCUAGUCGGUGGGGUAACGGCUCACCUAGGCGACGAUCCCUAGCUGGUCUGAGAGGACGACCAGCCACACCGGAACUGAGACACGGUCCAGACUCCUACGGGAGGCAGCAGUGGGGAAUAUUGCACAAUGGGAGCAAGCCUGAUGCAGCCAUGACGCGGGUAUGAAGAAGGCCUUCGGGUUGUAAAGUAGUUUCAGCGGGGAGGCGUUACCCGCAGAAGAAGAACCGGCUAACUCCGUGCCAGCCGCCGCGGUAAUUC